rnacentral:sRNA from 2 species
UUUUUGCGUGAGGGAUUAAAGUGAAAAUCCUUUUUAUUUUUGAAGUGAUAACGGAGAAAUAAAAAGAUUGCAGCGUAAAGCCCGACCCUUG